AAUAUCAAAUUCCAAUUUAAAAAACUUACUAAUCCAUUUUUCUUCAACUGUAAGCCAUGUUUUAAUAAAAUAAUCUUGUGCCUUAGGAUUUUUCAACCAUACAUCAGUUAACUUCAUCUUCUCAACUUUAUGAAUAAAUUCAAAGUUGUUUCUACUGUUGGAAAUGUUCCUCCAGAGUAUCAGAAGUUCACCUCAAUUUUCUUUAAUAUUCAGAUUUCCCUGUUUAUUAGUCCAUCUUAACCAUGCCUGUUCUCGAUGGAAAUCACAUAUAUUUUGAAUCUUCACAUUGGACAAAAAAUGAAGCAACAACAGAAUAGUUAACGUUGGUUUUUACAACAAGGAGGAUUAAUUGAAGUGUAUAUUUUGUAGUUUUGUAUGCUGCGUCAAGAAAACAUACAUUACCAUAUUGAUUAAAUAUUUUCCAUUGUUCGAUUUUAAUUUGAAGAGCAUUUUGAUCAAUUUUGCUUUGAUGUUUUUGAUAUGUGUUUUUACCGGCGCUUAUGAAAAUUACGGGGAAUUUUAUGAUUUGACCUUCCGAAUGCACCAACUAGAUUCACUUUACCAGCAAACAAGAUACUGUUGAAGAAAAUCGAAGCAGUUUUACAUAAUAUUUUAUGAGUAACCAAGUAGGUCUUUCCACAUAAAAUAGAAAAUAAUAGUACAUAGUGUAGUAUAUUAUAAUAGUAUGGUGUAUAGAUGUAUAAUAGUUAA